rnacentral:rRNA from 1 species
CCUACGGGAGGCAGCAGUGAGGAAUAUUGGUCAAUGGUCGAGAGUCUGAACCAGCCAAGUAGCGUGAAGGAUGACUGCCCUAUGGGUUGUAAACUUCUUUUAUAAAGGAAUAAAACGAGGCACGUGUGCCUUUUUGCAUGUACUUUAUGAAUAAGGAUCGGCUAACUCCGUGCCAGCAGCCGCGGUAAUACGGAGGAUCCGAGCGUUAUCCGGAUUUAUUGGGUUUAAAGGGAGCGUAGAUGGGUUGUUAAGUCAGUUGUGAAAUGUUGGGGCUCAACCGUAAAAUUGCAGUGGAUACUGGCAGUCUUGAGUACGGGUGAGGUAGGCGGAAUUCGUGGUGUAGCGGUGAAAUGCUUAGAUAUCACGAAGAACCCCGAUGGCGAAGGCAGCUUACUAAACUGUGACUGACGUUGAUGCUCGAAAGUGUGGGUAUCAAACAGGAUUAGAUACCCGAGUAGUC